rnacentral:rRNA from 1 species
ACCGUGAGGGAAAGGUGAAAAGCACCCCGGAAGGGGAGUGAAAUAGAACCUGAAACCGUGUGCUUACAAGUAGUCAGAGCCCGUUAAUGGGUGAUGGCGUGCCUUUUGUAGAAUGAACCGGCGAGUUACGAUUUGAUGCAAGGUUAAGCAGUAAAUGUGGAGCCGUAGCGAAAGCGAGUCUGAAUAGGGCGUUUAGUAUUUGGUCGUAGACCCGAAACCAGGUGAUCUACCCUUGGUCAGGUUGAAGUUCAGGUAACACUGAAUGGAGGACCGAACCGACUUACGUUGAAAAGUGAGCGGAUGAACUGAGGGUAGCGGAGAAAUUCCAAUCGAACCUGGAGAUAGCUGGUUCUCUCCGAAAUAGCUUUAGGGCUAGCCUCAAGUGAUGAUUAUUGGAGGUAGAGCACUGUUUGGACGAGGGGCCCCUCUCGGGUUACCGAAUUCAGACAAACUCCGAAUGCCAAUUAAUUUAACUUGGGAGUCAGAACAUGGGUGAUAAGGUCCGUGUUCGAAAGGGAAACAGCCCAGACCACCAGCUAAGGUCCCAAAAUAUAUGUUAAGUGGAAAAGGAUGUGGCGUUGCCCAGACAACUAGGAUGUUGGCUUAGAAGCAGCCAUCAUUUAAAGAGUGCGUAAUAGCUCACUAGUCGAGUGACACUGCGCCGAAAAUGUACCGGGGCUAAACAUAUUACCGAAGCUGUGGAUUGUCCUUUGGACAAUGGUAGGAGAGCGUUCUAAGGGCGUUGAAGCAUGAUCGUAAGGACAUGUGGAGCGCUUAGAAGUGAGAAUGCCGGUGUGAGUAGCGAAAGACGGGUGAGAAUCCCGUCCACCGAUUGACUAAGGUUUCCAGAGGAAGGCUCGUCCGCUCUGGGUUAGUCGGGUCCUAAGCUGAGGCCGACAGGCGUAGGCGAUGGAUAACAGGUUGAUAUUCCUGUACCACCUAUAAUCGUUUUAAUCGAUGGGGGGACGCAGUAGGAUAGGCGAAGCGUGCGAUUGGAUUGCACGUCUAAGCAGUAAGGCUGAGUAUUAGGCAAAUCCGGUACUCGUUAAGGCUGAGCUGUGAUGGGGAGAAGACAUUGUGUCUUCGAGUCGUUGAUUUCACACUGCCGAGAAAAGCCUCUAGAUAGAAAAUAGGUGCCCGUACCGCAAACCGACACAGGUAGUCAAGAUGAGAAUUCUAAGGUGAGCGAGCGAACUCUCGUUAAGGAACUCGGCAAAAUGACCCCGUAACUUCGGGAGAAGGGGUGCUCUUUAGGGUUAACGCCCAGAAGAGCCGCAGUGAAUAGGCCCAAGCGACUGUUUAUCAAAAACACAGGUCUCUGCUAAACCGUAAGGUGAUGUAUAGGGGCUGACGCCUGCCCGGUGCUGGAAGGUUAAGAGGAGUGGUUAGCUUCUGCGAAGCUACGAAUCGAAGCCCCAGUAAACGGCGGCCGUAA